CAAGUAUUCAAAAAAGUCUAAGUAUACUUGGCUUAUACUGACAAGCUAUACAGUAACGUCUAAGUAUACUUGGCUUAUACUGACAUUAUACAGUAAGGUCUAAGUCUACUUGGCUUUUACUGACAAGCAUACAGUAAAGUCCAAGUAUACUUAUACUGACAAGUAGGCUAUACAGUAAAGUCUAAGUAUACUUGGCUUAUACUGACAAGUAUACA